rnacentral:snRNA from 1 species
CGACCCUCAGUAGGAGCU